rnacentral:tRNA from 1 species
ACCUGGAUGGCUCAGUUGGCUGAGCGUCUGAUUUCAGCUCAGAUCAUGAUCUCACAGCUCGUGAGUUCAAGCCCCAUGUCGGGCU